CUCAAAGUCAUCACUUUCUUCACCACCACAUUAGCUCUUUGGCUUUUCCUCUGGAGAAAAAGGAAGAACAAAAUUGCAUCCAUCCUCCGAAAAAUUCAUGUUGAUAUCAUUACUGCUCAAUCAACACAAACAAAAUCCGUAUUUUAUUUCUAAAACCCACUCUCUCCUAUCCCACAUUUUAAAAGAAAUACUCAUUUCACUCACAGCCACAGCCAUCUCACUUCUCAUAGCCAUGAGAGUCUUAACUCAAUAAUCUAAGAAACAUAAGCCCUGGGUUUAUCACAGUAGAGAUCAAGCAGUCUGUGACUGAGGGUGGAUGUUGUUGAGCUGUGAAGCAGUGGCUGAGUUAAUGACGUCUAAUAAUGGCUAUUAAGUGAAGGAAUAGACAGCUGAAUGAAAAAGAGGUGUGGGUCUAAUGAGUUGUUGUUGGUUGGUCGGAGGAUGUGGGUUCAAUGGGUAGUUGUUGGUUAUAGAUGGCAGUGGUAGUUUUAGCGAUGAGAAACCGACGACAGCAGAGGAGAUGGACUGGCCGUAGCUUUUGUACUUGCAGUAUUUAAAGAGUCUCGUACGUGAAGAACAAUUUGUUGGAUGAAAUAGAAUUGGAUGAAAUUAAUUGCUUUUAUCUUUUUUGUUAAAUCUUGAUGGUGAUAUUGGCGUUGGUGGUGGUGGCAGAUGCUGGCGGUGGUGGUGGUUGUCAUGGUUGUGGCAGCUGGAGUAGAGUUGAUGGCAUUCAUAAAAUAAAAUAAAAAUAAAAGAGAGAAAGAGAGAGAGGGAG
rnacentral:lncRNA from 1 species